rnacentral:tRNA from 1 species
GCCAGUGGCGUAACGGAUAACGCGCCUGACUACGGAUCAGGAGAUUCCAUGUUCGAAGCGUCGAUGCUUCGGUG